GAGCGCCCCGCAAGGGGAGCGGCAGACGGGAGAGUAACACGUGGGAACGUACCCUUCAGUUCGGAACAACCCAGGGAAACUUGGGCUAAUACCGGAUACGUCCGUAAGGAGAAAGAUUUAUCGCUGAAGGAGCGGCCCGCGUCUGAUUAGCUUGUUGGUGAGGUAACGGCUCACCAAGGCUACGAUCAGUAGCUGGUCUGAGAGGAUGAUCAGCCUCACUGGGACUGAGACACGGCCCAGACUCCUACGGGAGGCAGCAGUGGGGAAUAUUGGACAAUGGGCGCAAGCCUGAUCCAGCCAUGCCGCGUGGAUGAUGAAGGCCCUAGGGUUGUAAAGUCCUUUCGGCGGGGAAGAUAAUGACGGUACCCGCAGAAGAAGCCCCGGCUAACUUCGUGCCAGCAGCCGCGGUAAUACGGAGGGGGCUAGCGUUGCUCGGAAUCACUGGGCGUAAAGCGCACGUAGGCGGCUUUUUAAGUCAGGGGUGAAAUCCUGGAGCUCAACUCCAGAACUGCCUUUGAUACUGAGAAGCUUGAGUCCGGGAGAGGUGAGUGGAACUGCGAGUGUAGAGGUGAAAUUCGUAGAUAUUCGCAAGAACACCAGUGGCGAAGGCGGCUCACUGGCCCGGUACUGACGCUGAGGUGCGAAAGCGUGGGGA
rnacentral:rRNA from 1 species